ACCAACCAAAACUCUUUUUGUAUACCCCCUCGCGGGUUUUUUUAUAAUCUGAGCCUUCUCGGCGCCUCUCGUAGGCGUUUCGAAAAUGAAUCAAAACUUUCAACAACGGAUCUCUUGGUUCUGGCAUCGAUGAAGAACGCAGCGAAAUGCGAUAAGUAAUGUGAAUUGCAGAAUUCAGUGAAUCAUCGAAUCUUUGAACGCACAUUGCGCCCGCCAGUAUUCUGGCGGGCAUGCCUGUCCGAGCGUCAUUUCAACCCUCGAACCCCUCCGGGGGGUCGGCGUUGGGGAUCGGCCCUCCCUUAGCGGGUGGCCGUCUCCGAAAUACAGUGGCGGUCUCGCCGCAGCCUCUCCUGCGCAGUAGUUUGCACACUCGCAUCGGGAGCGCGGCGCGUCCACAGCCGUUAAACACCCAACUUCUGAAAUGUUGACCUCGGAUCAGGUAGGAAUACCCGCUGAACUUAAGCAUAUCAAUAAGCAG
rnacentral:rRNA from 1 species